rnacentral:rRNA from 1 species
AUUGAACGCUGGCGGCAGGCCUAACACAUGCAAGUCGAGCGGGGUUUUCGGACCUAGCGGCGGACGGGUGAGUAAUGCGUAGGAAGCUACCCGAUAGAGGGGGAUACCAGUUGGAAACGACUGUUAAUACCGCAUAAUGUCUACGGACCAAAGUGUGGGACCUUCGGGCCACAUGCUAUCGGAUGCGCCUACGUGGGAUUAGCUAGUUGGUGAGGUAAUGGCUCACCAAGGCGACGAUCCCUAGCUGGUUUGAGAGGAUGAUCAGCCACACUGGAACUGAGACACGGUCCAGACUCCUACGGGAGGCAGCAGUGGGGAAUAUUGGACAAUAGGCGCAAGCCUGAUCCAGCCAUGCCGCGUGUGUGAAGAAGGCCUUCGGGUUGUAAAGCACUUUCAGUAGGGAGGAAGGGUUAAGUGUUAAUAGUACUUAACUUUGACGUUACCUACAGAAGAAGCACCGGCUAACUCUGUGCCAGCCGCCGCGGUAAUAC